GUCAAGGGCUUGUGGCAUGCUUGACACCUGAGUUCUCCCGAGAAGGGCAUGGUUAACUUUCCUUUGAAGGUGGCAAACUUGCCCCUAUCUAGAGACUUAUAGUGACUUCUUCCUUGCCAAAGAAACCAAGCCCUCUGCCAGGGACUGAGCCAAUCAGUGCUCAGUCCCAGACCUCCCUUCCCAGGGGAGGGUAAAUGAGCAGCCUGAGUCCAGCAGCUUUUUGAGCUCCUGGGUAUCGUGGUGUCAGACACACAGAAAAAAGAGGACAUGAUCAAUAGAUGGAAGAGAAAAUAUUUAAAAGCGUAUGUUAUGAGAAUCCACAGCCUACAGAAGUCGUUGGUACAGAGUUUGAGGCCAGACUGUCUGAUUUGAAUGUAGCUCCUCCAUUGACUACAGGCAAUUGAGACUUUCCAACACAGCGGCCCCAUAGACUGGGAAACUGUUGGGGUUGUUGAGAGCCUAGUUUACAGAAUUAAUAUUUGUAAGUUCCAGAGCGAAAACAUUUGUCCUGAAAGGAAGCUCAGCAGUCAAGUCUGGUAAGGUUCAGGUUGCAAUUCAUUCCAGGAAAAAGUUAUCAGAAUUCACCCAGGUCAGAGGCUUCCAUCCAAGCUACUCUAUGGCUGGCCAUAAAAUUACCGACAUAUUCCUUUGUGGUUGGGAAUCUGUUGCUAGCAACAGAAGAUGAAGAAUUUCCAUGCUGAAUGCACAGAAUACCCAAGACUAUGACCAAUGAAGUACAGAGGUUUUGGCUAGACCAUGGCUUGGGAUGCUAUGAAAGCCACGACCAUGGCUUCAAUAUUUCUUCACUUCUAGAGAGAGAGUCCUCACACUGCUUCACCUCACAGCAGGAAGCAGAAAGGCAGAUUAAGAUCUUGAACUUUCAACACCUUCUCUAGUACCAUGACUGCCUGCAUGCCCCUAUGUUUCCUGCUGUGAUGAUAAUGGAGUAAACCUCUGAAACUCUUUCCUCAAGAAAAUUUGGAGGGCAACUCAAACCUACCUUUCCAUAAAAUAAAGUGCACUCAGCGGUGAACUGAUCACUCAGAGAUUUCCAUGGUUUGUGUGUUGAAUGGAAGGAGCUCUCUCGGGAUCUGACAAACUCCUCAAGGCUUUGGGGAUAGAACCUGCAGGAAUUUCUGAGGUUGGCUGAAUCAAUUGUGUAGAUCUCUUUUCAGUAAACUCAAUUGCUAUUCUGAGAGAAACACAAUCCAAGUAUAUGUACACUUUAAAAAUCUUCUUCCUAUAUAAUUUUCAAAGUGUCAUUAGCUACUAAGUGAUUAGGGAAAGUAAGGAGGGCAGAUAAAAGAGAUGUCAUAUCUGACUGGUUAUUGCUGUAUGCAUGGAAAGAAUAUCACACGAAGCCCUAAUAAUAUAUACACUUAAUACCUGUGGACAGAAUUAGUUCCAUUUAAUUUAAUAUAAUCACCUGACGCUUACUGAAUAUCUGGUGUAAGACUUGAGAUUCAGCAAGAGCACAGGAGUACAAAAUUUUGAGGUAAAGACAAGAGAGCACACAAAUAGAGACCCACAAACAUUUAUCCUUCCUGAGUGAAGGACAGAGUGUACACUUUGGGAAGUGAUGUUUAUAUUUCAGAAGGAUGGAACAAACAAAAGCCCUUGGUUGCACGGAAGAAGGUUGCUUUGUGGAUGGAUUUGACAGACAUUAUUAUAUUUCUGAUAUGCAUGUGGUUGGUUUUAGCUCUUACAGGAUAUGUGUCUCUAUGUUACAAUUGAGGCAGAUGAUAAGAGAAAAGGCUACAUGCCACAUGCUUAAGGUUAGAAAAGUAGUAAAACCCAGUUUGGAGCCAGGCACUAAGCUCACAUCUUGAGGGCAAGUGAGAUUGUCUUGGACUUGUGUGCAGUAAGGAAAACAAUGGCCAUGUGAGAAACGUGAUGUAAUGACCAGUAUCAGAUGGUCAGCAGAAGCGGCUGGUGUGGUGGCAAUGUGAAAGAAAGCAGGAGGCUAUGGAAAUGCAGAGGAGGGAAAGCUUUAGGAAAUGAGCAGAAGUCAGUAAGAGAUAAAGCACUUCUAAAAUCUCCAGCAAGACCAUAGCAGUAACUGUGAUGGCCAGACAUUUCCAUGGUUUGUGUGUUGAAUUGGAGGAGAUGUCUCAGGGUCUGCCAAACUCCACAAGUAUGGAGACGGUGGUCAAAGGACAGAGAGAGUAAAACAUUGAGUAAGAAUCUAGGAUAAAGCUUGGUUAAAAGGAGAGUAGCAUUAUGAAAGCAAAACAGGAAAGCAGACUGAGAAGACAGGCUGAGGGCUCAUUCAGGAGUAGCCAAGUGCCAAAGCACAGAUGAUUUUUCUUUACGUGUUUGUCUGUUUGAAGACGGGAGAACUAGGAAGUUUGCAUAUAGUAAGAGGAUUCCAGUAAUGAAGAGGAUAUUUCAGGAUGAUCUAGGUAAGGAAGGCUUUAGAAGUAAAGAGACAAUAGUGAUUGAAUGACAAAGAGGCAGGUACUGGAGAUGGGAGGACCUAGACAGACAUGUUCCAAGGCCACAGAUGACACUUCUCAUUGCCUUUUCUAUUAGGUGACAGGGGCACCAGAAUCUGUGUGGAGAAUGUAGAGAGAUAUAAUAUAUGAGUGAAGCUACUGAGGAAACUCCUGAAAAAUAUUUAAAUGCAUAGGUGAGAAAAUAUAGUAGCUGAUAUGGUAACAGAAAAAAUAAUUACUGGCCCUCAUUGUCAGUGAAGGAAGGGGACCAGAAGAGAUCACAGUAUAUAAAGAAAUGUGUGGAGUGUGGGUCAAUGGCAGACGCUUCCAGAGAGAAGACUGAGUAAAGUAUUGUACUAUAUUGUACCAAACUGAAAAUGAAAACAGAAUUUACGUUAAUAAUAAACACAAUGAGUAAAAACUUGCUUGUGGUCUUUCCAUGUCAGGUGCUAAGGCAAUUAGUUUGUCGUUGCUGUUUUAUUAGUAGUAUUGGGGAUUAAACACACAGCAUUGUGCAUGCUAGGUGAGUAUUAGACCACUAAGUCGUAGCCCUAGCCUAGA